UACUCUAGCCUAAUUCCCUCGUCACUCUCUUAUUUGUCAUUCACACCUUGUCCUCUCCAUUCUCAAGACCCAACUCAAAAACCUAAUGGGAGAGCAGGCGACAUCACGGCGGGCGACCGCCACGACUCCAUGGCUCUUCUCCUUCUCUCACGGUGGCAGAGUUAAUUAACAAAGGAGAAUCGGGGGCGAAACCCUAGCUUUCUCUGUCUUUUCGCAAUCGCAUCUGCUAAAGUGUUAAUUCGAAUUCUUCGAGGAACAUUUCGAAGGGUCGCCAACGACACAGAUGUUGAGCAUAAUUACAGGAUCACUGUAUAACAGUUUCAUUGAAAAGGACACCAAUACCUUUCCAGAUUUCCAUGUAGCAUUUCUAGAUAUAUUCAACACUUUCAACUCCUCGUUGCCUAGUAAACACUAUGAUGUUACUUCACGCCAGGAAGUAAAGGUUUUUGGUUCUUAUUACAGUUGAUUGUUACACUUGAAUAUAAAGUUCUGAGCAUAUAUAUUUGGUUAGGCUGAAAGUGGAAAUAGGCAGAAAGUGUAUUCUAGCUUUCUGGAUUAUGUUUCAGUUUUAUCGUUGCUACUACUGGGUGCUUCUAGUCCAGGAAUUAGUCCAUCUGCAUCAGCAGCUAGCUUGGGGAGUAUUAACACCAGCUUUAUUGGUGAUAGCAGCGCGAGUACAGUAGGUUCAAUGGCCUACUCACUUGGACCAUAUGAGCAUGUCACAUAUAGUUCUUCUGUGAGUCUUGAGCAAUCUCUCCAAAUAGGAAAAGAUAAUCAAGGCAAUGGAGAAUCUGAUCCAAGCAGCAUAAAUACGUAUGUAGACAUUGGAGAUUUAUCUUCAAAUGCUAAUCAGUAUGGUUUUUGUGUAAAUAGUAUCUUAUAUGUUUCAGGUUGAAGCCGUGAGUUAUUCUUUUGCAAGCUGAAGCGGAUACGAGAUGGUGCAAUAUUAUAUUUGUUAUUGAAGUGAGGACGCUCCACUUGUAAUAGUUAAUCGUUUAUUUUCUAUAAUUUAUUUCUUCAUUUAAGAAUCGUUAGCUAGUGCUCUUGAUUCUCUGUUGGUUGUUGCUCCGCGAAAGCGUUGAGGUUGUUCAGCUUUGGGAUUUGGAAAUAUUUUAUAAAUUGAAAUUGUAACAGGUUCAUAUUAUUUUUCGCUUUAGCGUUGUCCUAUUUUCAAAGGAAAUUCUGCCGGAUUUUCUGUAGAAAUUUAUGGGAAUAGAGUCUGAGAAUCAGAGCGUAGUUGCAAUAGUAAAUUAAUUUGAAUAGAGUUGGGAAUCCAGUUCCAUACUCUCCGAUGUAGUUCGGUGAGUGUGAUGGUAAUAGUUCGGGUUAUCUUGACCAGAGUCUCUUUCGCUGUGUUUAAUCCUCUGUAAGCUGGUCGGGAGAAUUCGGGCUGUUACACAAAAAGAAAAGAAAAAAUAGAAAUUGACAAUAUUACUACGGUUCCCGCCCUAAACCGCAGCAAUAUUGUCUAACGGACACUUUUUAAAAUUAAUGUGGGGGCCUGAACAGCAAAUAUUGUUGCGGUUUCCACGUAGGACCGCAGCAAUAUAUUAAAAAAAUAUUUUUUUAAUAUAUUGCUGCGGUCCUACAUGGCAACCGCAGCAAUAUAUGCUGAAUUAACCAAAAAAAGACGGGGCGCCUGUUGAAAUUAUAAAACACAACACUUAGGGUUUUUCUUUCACUCCUCUCAAGAGAGGUGCCUCUCUCUCUCCUCUCUCUCCUCUCUCUCACUCGUUCGUUUUCCCUCACCUUCUCUCUCCUCUCAGCCUUCGUUUUCUCUCACCCUCCCUCCUCACUCACCGUCGCCACCCUUGCUCGACGCAACAAAGCCUCCUCCGUGGUUCGUUCGUUCGUUCAGAUCCAUCAACAAUUGUUCGCUCUUCUUCGCCGCAUCAACUGUCGUUCGCUCUUCGUCGCCGCAUCAACUCUCGUUCGCUCUUCAUCGCCAUCAACAAUUGUUCACUCACUCUCCUCGUCGCCGCAUCAGUGAGUGAUGGAUUUCACUCAAUCGUCGUUCAUCGAGAUGCGGGGGGUUGAUGCAAGAGAUCUUCACUCAAUCGACCCUCACCCACCGCAAUCUGUUUUUGAUAUCUCAGAAGAUGGGUAAGGUGGUAAUUUUUGCUACAGUGUUGGGAGCUGCGGUAGUUUGUGCAGUAGGGGGGUUAAUUGUGAGCCGUCGGAUGAAAAUGGGGAAAAUUGGAGGCGUAUGAUGGAGAUAUUGAGGGAUUUUGAGGAGAAAUGUCGGACCCCAAUUGAGAAAUUGAAGUAGGUGGCUGAUGCCAUGGUUAUGGAAAUGCAUGCUAGUCUUGCUUCUGAUGAUGGCAGCAGUAUUAAGAUGCUUAUCAGCUAUGUUGACAAUCUCCUAACUGGGUAUUUUUCUUUUUCCUUUUUUUUUAUGUUGUUGUGAAAGGGGAAUUAGUUGUCUAUUAUGAUGUUAUUACUUUCAUGUAAUUUUUGCUUAAUUCUGAUAUGUUCUUUAUAUGGUGGAAGUAUUUUGAUCUGAUAGGGUGUUUGCUGCAAAUUUUAUACAUAGUUAUCAACUUGAAAGUGUUUUUUUAUGGGUUUAUGCAUAUAAUCUGCAUCAUUUGUGCCAUUUUAGUGUCUACUUUUUUGUGGGUUAGUCUUUGAGGGUUUUUUUUUCUUCUUAUGAUGAUUUUUACUUCUUUUUAGUUGAGUUUUUCUGGGUAUUUAGCAUCAAAUGUGGGAGUUAAUUUGUAAAUUUGAGCUGAAGUUGAAUAACAGGUUGAACAUUGGUUGAUCUUUUGGUGUUUGGUUGGUGACAGUGAUUGAUUCCUCAAAAGAGAUUAUGUUCUAGUGAAAACUAGCUUAGGGGUUUCUUCUAGUUGAGUUGGGCAGUUCUUGUUGUGUGGUGAAGAUAUAGGUUUGAAGUAAUGGUGAGACUUUUUAGGUUUGUUGGGCAUUGCUUCAAUUUAAGAAGGGUAUUAAGCAUGACCCUACUGGUUAUGUGUUGAAUUCAUGGAAUGAGGAGUCCAUUGAUUUCAAUGGUUGCCCUUCUUCUUGGAAUGGCAUAGUUUGUAAUGCGGGACAUGUUGCCGGGGUUGUUCUUGAUAACUUGUACCAUGUUGGUAAAACUUUCAAUGGCAAACAAGGUACAUAAUCUGCAUCAUUUGUGCCAAUUGAAUUCUGGUAGUGGUGAUUUUGCUUUGGUGGUGUAAUGAAUUAGGGUAAAGGUAAGAGUGUUGUUGAUGAAAAUGUUGCAGCAACCACAAGAAGAAGAACAAUUGGUAUUAACAACGGGGGGCGCACCUCCGAAGCAGGUAGCAAUCGCAAUGGAUAGAUACAAGCCUCUCGCCUUAUAGCCGAUAUUAGGAUCGGAGCUGAUCGUUUACUUGACGCAUUAUUUGUGCGAUCAAUGUUUCAUCACCCUUCUAAAACCUAAAAUUUUAUUACUAAACAAGAGUCUGCUAUGCGUCAUCACCUUCAAGACCUUCGCAAUAUCGGAAAACAGCUUGAAUCUUCUGGGGUUCUUAACGAAGCACUUAGACCACGAAGCAACUCUUGGGGAUUGCUACAUGUCCGUCGUUUCGUUUCAAGAUCUUUGUCUUCUUCGAUCUGUUUAGUAUUUUUUACUUUUUUUUUUCUUUUUUUUUUUUAUUUUCUUUAUUAGUUUUAUAUUUCUUUUUUUUUUGUUCUUUUUACUUUAUUCUACUAGUUUGAGUUUGAUAAUCCUUUGUUAUUAUAUGCAUUAUUUUAGUUGUAAGUGUUUUUUUUCAUUUAACAUUUUAAUCUAUUGUAUUUUUUAUGUAACUAGUUUUUUUUUAUCGUUAUAUAUUAAUAAUAUUCCUAUGUCAUUUCAUUUUCAAUUCAUAUGAAAAUUUUGUGGAUAGUGGAUUGGUUUGUUGCCUGAUUUUAAAUUUUCAAAUGUGAUUGCAAAAUGCAAUUUUGGUUACCAGGACCUAUUGACAUAUUGCUGCGAUUUUGGCCCAAAACCGCAGCAAUACUCUCUGUUAAAUAUAUAAUACAUUAAAAUAUUGCUGUGGUUUGGCCUAAAAACCGCAGCAAUAUUGGUAGAUAUUGCUGCGGUUUAAAACCUCAACAAUAUAAUUAAUACCUAUUGUUGCCCCCCCUUAAU